rnacentral:misc_RNA from 1 species
UUUCGUAGGUGAACCUGCGGAAGGAUCAUUAAUAAAUGGCUCCGCGUUAGGAGCACUUAAUAAUCCUACCUUGUGAAUUUGUUGUUUGAAAUAAUUUUUUUUAAAAUUAUUGAAUGUCUUUCCUGUUGAAUUAGAGUGUUUCGGACACAAAGAUUCGCAGGGAUAGUCAAUAAUUUUUAAAAAGACCUUUUUUAAAUUAAACUUUUUGUAUUCAUUUGUCUAAAAUUAUUUUUAUAAUAUAAAAACAACUUUUGACAAUGGAUCUCUUGGUUCUCGCAACGAUGAAGAACGCAGCAAAAUGCGAUAAGUAGUGUGAAUUGCAGAAUACGUGAAUCAUCGAAUCUUCGAACGCAUAUUGCACUUUUUAGUUACUAAAAAGUAUGUCUGUUUGAGUAUCAGUAAAAUAUUCUCAUAAAACAUUGUUUUAUGGUUAUGAGUGUUUACAACGAUACAAGUUGUUUCACUUAAAUUUUUUAAAAUUGAAUUUUUUCUAAUUUUAAAAUAAAGUGGAUAAAUUUCCCGUAAAAGGAAUAACCUAAACAAUUUUAAUUUAAAUUAGAAACCUUCAAAAAAAAGGAAAUUUAAUAAAUAACUUGAUCUCAAAUCAGAUAAGAGUACCCGCUGAACUUAAGCAUAUCAAUAAGCGGAGGAAAAGAAACUAACAAGGAUUCCUUAGUAACGGCGAGUGAAGCGGGAAGAGCUCAAAUUUGAAAUCUUCAAGUUUACCUUGACGAAUUGUAGUUUAAAGAAGUGUUUCUGUUGAAGUUUUGGUAAAAGUUCUUUGGAAUAGACAUCAUAGAGGUGAGAAUCCGUAUUUGACCAUUAUUUUCAGCUGUGUGAUACACUUUCAAAGAGUCGGAUUGUUUGGGAAUGCAGUCCAAAAUGGUGGUAAAUUUCAUCUAAAGCUAAAUAUUGGCGAGAGACGAUAGCGAACAAGUACCGUGAGGAAAGAUGAAAGAACUUUGAAAAGAGAGUUAAACAGUACGUGAAAUUGUCAAAAGGAAGCGUUUGACACCAGUGUUGUUUUCUCGAAAAUCAAUUAAAAAGAGUUGGAUUUUGUGUUGUAUUGACCUUAACAGCUUUCUUCACUCUUUCCUGCUUUUUUAAUGCACUUUCGUUAACAAGUCAACAUCAGUUUCUUUUGUUGUAAAGGUCAUUGGAAGGUGGCUUCUUUCGGAGAAAGUGUUUAUAGCCUUUGAUCUCUGCAAUCGGAGAGACUGAGGUCUGCAGCGUAGAUCCUUCGGGUUAGAUACAUUUGUGCUAAGUUAUAACUUUUCAUAGACAACUUGUUGACUAUGUUUAGUCAUGUAGCUUACUCGCUUAUGCUAUUUUACCUACGCUUAGGAUGUG